AGAGUUUGAUCAUGGCUCAGAUUGAACGCUGGCGGAAUGCUUUACACAUGCAAGUCGAACGGCAGCACGGGUGCUUGCACCUGGUGGCGAGUGGCGAACGGGUGAGUAAUGCGUCGGAACGUACCGAGUAAUGGGGGAUAACGCAGCGAAAGUUGUGCUAAUACCGCAUACGCCCUGAGGGGGAAAGUGGGGGACCGCAAGGCCUCACGUUAUUCGAGCGGCCGACGUCUGAUUAGCUAGUUGGUGGGGUAAAGGCCUACCAAGGCGACGAUCAGUAGCGGGUCUGAGAGGAUGAUCCGCCACACUGGGACUGAGACACGGCCCAGACUCCUACGGGAGGCAGCAGUGGGGAAUUUUGGACAAUGGGGGCAACCCUGAUCCAGCCAUUCCGCGUGAGUGAAGAAGGCCUUCGGGUUGUAAAGCUCUUUCAGCAGGAACGAAACGGUACGCUCUAACAUAGUGUGCUAAUGACGGUACCUGCAGAAGAAGCACCGGCUAACUACGUGCCAGCAGCCGCGGUAAUACGUAGGGUGCGAGCGUUAAUCGGAAUUACUGGGCGUAAAGCGUGCGCAGGCGGAUUGUUAAGCAAGAUGUGAAAUCCCCGGGCUUAACCUGGGAAUGGCAUUUUGAACUGGCAGUCUAGAGUGCGUCAGAGGGGGGUGGAAUUCCACGUGUAGCAGUGAAAUGCGUAGAGAUGUGGAGGAACACCGAUGGCGAAGGCAGCCCCCUGGGAUGACACUGACGCUCAUGUACGAAAGCGUGGGUAGCAAACA
rnacentral:rRNA from 1 species